rnacentral:lncRNA from 1 species
GACGAUCCGUAAGAUGGAGCAGGAUGAAAAGCUUCAACUGAAUAUACGGCAGCAGCUCGAGCAAGAGAUCCGAGAACUCAAGGCUCUUCGGGACCUUGGGCCUCCUUUAACUGAUGCUCUUCGCAAAGAAAUUUGUGAAGAGUAUAGGAACUCGGACGAAAUAAACGGAGAAAUCAUGAGGAUUCACAAAGAAAGCUACGAGCUCUGCCGAAGUCUUGGCAAGGAAAGGUUGAUCAAGGCUAACUUAGAUCCUUACCUGCUGGACUCUUCGGAUGAUGAUGGCGCUGCAUGAAGCACCAGCUUAGGAUUGUCUUCGGUCUUAUUAUGAAUAUUUGUAAAAAUUUUAUGUUAUUUCCUUAUUUGUAAAUGAACAUAAAUAUUAAUGAGAAAUUAUUUCCUUUCUUAUGACUUCAGUGCACUUUUUAUUUUAUGUCAAUACUUCAAUAUGAAUUUAUAUGGACAAGUGUACAAAAAACCCCUUCGAGGAUUUAACUUCAAAUGAUUAAGCAUGUCAUAUAACAGAUGAGAUAAGUUUUAAAGAACGAGGCAUUCCGAACUCAACACUUAGAAAAGACUCAGGUAAUAAAGUAAAGAGAUACUUAUCAAGUUACCGAAGUGCGAGACAUCCGCUUUAUUGAGAGUUUGUUUACCCCGAAAGGCCUAACAGAACUUCAAGAUAACAUUCGCCUACCACGAAGGGCCUGCCGAAGUUUAAAGUGUCGAUCAUUGCCUACCACGAAGGGCCUGACAAUGUCUUAAAGAUGA